GACGGAGGGGGCUAGCGUUGUUCGGAAUUACUGGGCGUAAAGAGUGCGUAGGCGGUUUAGUAAGUUGGAAGUGAAAGCCCGAGGCUUAACCUCGGAACUGCUUUCAAAGCUACUAAUCUAGAGUGUAGUAGGGGAUGAUGGAAUUCCUAGUGUAGAGGUGAAAUUCUUAGAUAUUAGGAGGAACACCGGUGGCGAAGGCGGUCAUCUGGGCUACAACUGACGCUGAUGCACGAAAGCGUGGGGAGCAAACAGG
rnacentral:rRNA from 1 species